ACCCGCGGGGAGCCCCGCCUGCGCGGACCUGCUGCCGGCCGCGGGGUCGGACCCGCGGGCGGCGCCGCUGAGCAGCUCCCGAGGAGGGCGUGACCGGAGGGGCUGGUGGACGGAGCUGCGAAGCCGGGCCAGUGGAUGAAGGUACAGACUCUAAGAUGAAGCAACAUGCUCAAUCAAGGUCAUGCAAGUGGCUGGGCCAAUAAUCAAACUUGAGUGCCAUGAUUCCAAGAUGGUCAAUGGACCACCGUCACUACUGUUCCUGCCUUAGGAAUUCUAGGGCCUGGGGUUAAGGAUGAAUGGGACCUCCCCUCUGCCCUCCAGCAGCUCUGAGGCGAGAGAGACCUGACCGAAAUCACAUCCAUGAGAGGAGGAUCCAGGAAGAGGUCGGAGGCAGGAGAAGAUGGUGUCUGCAGCCUGAGAGAAGAGCGAGCUUGGGCGGGAGGCACAUGGAGGACGGAUGGAGCGUCUUCAGCCUUCAGCAAACACCAGGAGGAGGAUGCUCAGCCACAGCACCUACCACGCUGCAUUAUAGCUCUAGUUUCGGGACCAUCACUGCCACUAGACUGUGAGACACUUGGGGACAGGAAUGAGUCAAGAGCAGCACAGUGCCAGCACCUGGGACACCUCACUGAUGCCCGGCAAAUGAGUGCGUGCGUGGCGAUAUGAAGCGGGAUGUGCCUCUGAGGAUUCCACGAGAACUGGAGGCUGCCCUGGCCCACCAUGGACUUCCAUACACCUCCACCCCCAACCUUGGCAGUCCACUGGUGCUCCUCUGAGCUGCCCCCAGCACACAUGGCCUGCUGGGAACUCCCCCAAGCUUGCUGCCUAGCACAGGGCUCCUGGGGGCUGGGAGACAACGAGCCUUUGGGUAACUUGUUUGGAGUUAUCUGAGCUGAGCAGUUGUCCAGUGAUCGGGGAACCAAAUGGCCACAAAUGGUGACAAGAGCCUCCAUAUGGAUGAAGAAAGUAUGGCUGGAUUUAGCACCAGCUGUCUUUUGGGUUGUUCGGUCUUCCUUUCCCAUCUUUCCCCUUUCCAGAUCCCAUCAAGGCUCGUGGGUACCAGAAAGUUACACCCAGUGGGCAACUGUUCACAUAGUCAGUGGCAGGUGGCAGCCGUGAGUGAGGCCUAGUACCCUUUCCAGCCAUGCCCAGCCAGGCCUUGGCUCCCAAACACAGAGCUGCCUCCUGCCUGCUGGAAUUCUACAGGUGAGCCUCUGGGCAGGUACAGAGAGCUCCCCAGCAGCCAAGAGGCUGCACGGUUGGAAACAUCACUGUAGGAGCAGGACCAGCCUGUGGUUGGCACCAGAGAAGAAGGUCCUUCCCCACAUUUACCUGGGUCUCAGAUGCCAGAGAAGUGAAACAGAGCAUCAGCCCUGGUCUUGGGGUAGGGAAGGGUUCUAAAGGAGAGGCUUCCUGGGUCACCAGAGAUGGCUACGGUUGGGGAGGCAUCGCUGGCUCUCCUCUGGCAGCUCACUCUAAAGGCCUGAGCUAUCUCUGACUUGGGGGCCAGGGAAGGCUUGUGGAACUUCAAAGGAGUCCUCCCUGUCCCCUCUCUCUCCUCACUCACCCCUACGAACUCUGGGAAUGAGUUCUCCCUAACACAAGGCGGGUCCUACAACCCCGGGCAUGGCCAGGCCGAGACACAGACAUCCACAUGCGUGAGCGUGUGCCUGAGCACAGCCCACACUUCCUCAUCCCAACUGCUCUGGUACCUUCAGUCAGCCUGCAGCCAAGGCCAGGCCAGGUGGGAGCGCCUUGGAGUCUUCCUGGGAAUAGUGAGGCCCUGCUGUCUGCUUCCUGAAUGGCUGGAGCACAGUGAGUCUCCUGACGCUACCUGGCUGUCCUCCUUUUUUGCCUUCUUUCCUGAUUUCCUUGGAUGAACUCUAAGAGCCUUGAGUGAACUGACCUUGGUGUUCUUGGAAGGAACCUGUGAUGACAACCACCUGGCUGUCCUGACCCACCCCCUUGGCCUGCCUGUUCGAUCCCAGUCUGCUCAGCAGGAAGCAGGAUCUGGUGUUUGAGCCAAGUCCAGAUCAUUUAUGAUGACCGGGCAUUGAGGGGUUUAAAAAAAAGCCAAUGGGAGCAGGGCCCUGCCUUCCAGAAGCUCCUCUGACAGGUGUCUGUGUGCAGAGGAGAGGACGGGCAGGUGGGCAAGAGGCCAGGGGGAGGAAACAGCCCUCAGACUCCCCAGAGGUCACCAAGGCAGAUCCAAUUCCCUCCCUUUUGCCCUGAGAAGUGUCUACCUGUGGUCCCAGUUCUGUGGCCUUUAAGGCAAAGAGAAGGACCCUGAGGACACUAGUAUUCAGGCCAUGGUUCUAAAAACAGAGGGGUGCUCCCCCAGCCCCCAUUCUCUCCCUGGUUUGCACGGGCAGUGGGCCUUCUUACAACUGGAGCUGGCCAAAGCCAACCCCUUUCCUCCCCUGUGGGGAGCCAGGCUGGGCCUGGUGGAGCCUGGCUGCCGCGUUCAGCUUGGCUCUGGGUGGGUUCCCCUUCCCCACUGUCCCACCUACCUGCACUUCUCGACCUGCCUUCUGUCUUCUCUCUCGCUUGCUACCUACGUGACACUGCCUGCACUUGGCAUUUCUUGGGAAAGGGCUGUGGAUUUAAACCAAAUUGCACUGAGACCCCCACAGGCAGGUUAAGCUGCUCCCACCCCCAAACUCCCCUCCAAACCUCCAGAAAGAACAAUUAGCUUCUCACUGUCGCCAGAGGCUGUCUGUCAUCAUUCUCCUCCAGUAGGAGGCUCGGGUAUUGGAAGAAGAAUGGCCUGAACUCUGCAGGACCCCUCCCCUGGGGUGGCUGGUGACAGCUGGUGGAGGGGAGAGGGGGAUGGGCCCAGACAGAUUGGCAGGUAUCCCUGCGGGCCCAGAGCUGAGAAGAAGAGAACAGGAGGGGACUCAGUGGGUGGUCUACCAAGGAGCAGUCACAUAGGUCACUUGGCCACACAACGUCCCUAGAGAAAACAGGCCCAGGCCCUUGCCCGCCUAGAACAAGGAAUACAGAAUCUGAUCAUUCCUGGAGUGGAACCCCUUCUCGGUGGCAGCUGGGGAUCCCGGGGCAGGUCAGCGGUAAAAUUAUAAAAGUAGGGGAGAGGCUAGGAUUUAUGGGCUGGGGAAUGGGACCCCUCAAGCUCAGAGAGGUCUGUUAUCCCUGUGGGAUGGGCCAGGGUCCAGAUAAGGCCUUCCUCCCCGGGGCUGGGAAUGAGGGUGGACCCACAUUAGAGUCAGAGAGUCUUUACAGAGGGUAAGGGGCUGAGAGUGGGGGACACUACAAGGUCAGAGCAGGGGAGGAGGAAGAGUAGGAGUGAAGCUGGGGCUAGCCAGAUAAAAGCGGUCCUUCCAGGGGGACCUGAGGCCAGGGAAGGGCCUGCAGGGGCUGCUGCAGACCCAUGGUCUGGCUAGGGAAGGCUGAAAGAGAACUCGCACUCUGGGCAUCCGGGCAGGUGGCAGGUAUCAAGCUUAGCAGCUCCUGGAGUCCACACCAGUGCCCUCUGGCAUCCCCUGGCCUCUCUGUCCCUUGGUCUGAGUUUGAGUGUCUUUCAGCUUUGUGUCAUUAAUGCUUCUUUUGAAAGGUUCCUACUGGUUCUUUGUGGGGUUCAGGGGAAGGGGCUGACCUGGAAGCCAGGCAAGGACAGGGCAAGAGGGGAAGGAGCUGGUGCAGGGGGAGCUCACCACUCUCUCCUUGUAGACGAUGUACUUCAACCACUUGAAGUCCUGCCACUUGAAGCCAGCGAGGACAAAUAGAGAAUCGCGUUCAUAUUGCUCAGGCCGCUGCAUGGCGCCCUCAGGGUAGGUGAUGCGCAGUGUAGUUUUGCUGCCCACGUCCUUCUCAAAGCCUUUCACUGGUGCGGAGUUCAGUCUACAGAGAGCAGGCCCAGUCAGAGCCUGCCCUGGGCUCGCUGUGUGUAGUCUGUGGGCUUGUGUCUGGGGAGCCACUCUGACCCCAGAAUUCCCCAGGUGCAGAGAAUAGGGAGCCAGGUCACCUGAAGCCACCAGGUCACCUGGAGCCACCUAGCUUUCUAGAGCCCUCCGACCAGGGUUCUUCUCUAGGCUUCUGCUGACCUCCAGUCCGACUAGCCAGAUGGACAGAUAGUUCUCAGUGGACUCAGGGACGAGGGUUCGGGCCAGGACCCUCAGGUGCCUGAGGCACUGCUGUUUGGGGAGCUCACCUGACCACAAUGUCAUAGUCAUCAAUUCGUGACCCCAGAGACUUGUUGGCUAGGACACCUCCGUUGCCCACGAUGAUGCAGCGGCGGCAGCUGAGGCUGAGGGGAGAGAGGCAGAGACCCCUGGAGAGCUGUCCGCCAGGGCUCCUUCUCCCUACCCCUUGGGCCCGUGACCUCAUGCCUUUGGCCAGAUGCAGGCUGGGAUGGGGGAAGACCAAUGGGCUUCAGGCAGCAUUCUGAGGCCAAAGCCAUACUGUCGGUAGCUGGGCCACUUGGGACUCUCGGACAGCCCUAGUCCCAGAGAUUCUCCAGGAAAGUGUCGCUGUGGAAGGGGCAAGGACGUUAGUUCUGGGGUGGUGAGGAAGGGGCCUCUGGUAAGAUGGCAUUCUAGGCUCAAGGCUCCCCAAGGAUUAGUGGAGUUCAAGAAAGAGGGCAAAGUGGGCUGAUUUGAAGGCUGUGCCAGAGAGGGAAGCAGAGAGGACAGGCCUGGAGGCUCCAGGACCCAAGGGUGGGCUUAUAUUCAGCUCAGAAGCCCCCAGGCUCCCAUUAGCCACCAGAGAGCCCUACUUAUUUUGCUUCUCCCACCUGGGGCUUCCGCACCCAGGGGCGGUGGGCUCCUCAGCUGUCACCGUCUCCUGCGUGUAAGCCCUGCCCCCUCAGCUGCCUUCUCCACCCUGUCCUUCAGCCCCACUGCUGGGCUGAUCUCAGCCCAGUGCCUGGCCUGCCCUUCUUACCCUCAGACCUCUGCUGGCUGAGGACUGAAGACUGAAACACGUUGCCAAGUGCUGACGGUCCAGGGGGUGCAGGCCAGCACCGGAUGGCCCCACUGAUCUGCUCACCACCCCAGCAUGUGUGCUGUGUGUGCACAUCUGUGGACAUGCUGGAGAAUGUGCUCGUGUCCAGGCUAAGCUGGCAGGGCCUCGGCAUCUCUGAGCAUGCCAGGCAGCU